rnacentral:rRNA from 1 species
AUUGAACGCUGGCGGCAGGCUUAACACAUGCAAGUCGAGCGGAGUGAUGGUGCUUGCACUAUCACUUAGCGGCGGACGGGUGAGUAAUGCUUAGGAAUCUGCCUAUUAGUGGGGGACAACAUCUCGAAAGGGAAGCUAAUACCGCAUACGUCCUACGGGAGAAAGCAGGGGAUCACUUAUGACCUUGCGCUAAUAGAUGAGCCUAAGUCGGUUUAGCGAGUUGGUGGGGUAAAGGCCUACCAAGGCGACGAUCUGUAGCGGGUAUGAGAGGUUGAUCCGGCACAGGGGGACUGGGACACGGCACAGACUCAUACAGGAGGCAGCGGUGGGGAAUAUUGGACAAUGGGGGUAACCCGGAUCCAGGCAUGCCGCGUGUGUGAAGAAGUCCUUAUGGUUGUAAAGCACUUUAAGCGAGGAGGAGGCUCUUUUGGUUAAUACCCAAGAUGAGUGGACGUUACUCGCAGAAUAAGCACCGGCUAACUCUGUGCCAGCAGCCGCAGUAA